GGCUUAGAGUUUGAUCAUGGCUCAGGACGAACGCUGGCGGCGUGCUUAACACAUGCAAGUCGAACGGAGCACCUUUGAAAGAGACUUCGGUCAAUGGAUGAGACUGCUUAGUGGCGGACGGGUGAGUAACGCGUGAGGAACCUGCCUUCCAGAGGGGGACAACAGUUGGAAACGACUGCUAAUACCGCAUAACGCGUGACCGGGGCAUCCUGGACAUGCCAAAGAUUUAUCGCUGGAAGAUGGCCUCGCGUCUGAUUAGCUAGUUGGUAGGGUAACGGCCUACCAAGGCGACGAUCAGUAGCCGGACUGAGAGGUUGGCCGGCCACAUUGGGACUGAGAUACGGCCCAGACUCCUACGGGAGGCAGCAGUGGGGAAUAUUGGGCAAUGGGCGCAAGCCUGACCCAGCAACGCCGCGUGAAGGAAGAAGGCUUUCGGGUUGUAAACUUCUUUUGUCAGGGAACAGUAGAAGAGGGUACCUGACGAAUAAGCUCCGGCUAACUACGUGCCAGCAGCCGCGGUAAUACGUAGGGAGCGAGCGUUGUCCGGAUUUACUGGGUGUAAAGGGCGUGUAGGCGGGAUUACAAGUCAGAUGUGAAAUUCCGGGGCUCAACCCCGGAACUGCAUUUGAAACUGUAGUUCUUGAGUACUGGAGAGGCAGAUGGAAUUAAGCC
rnacentral:rRNA from 1 species